rnacentral:rRNA from 1 species
GACGAACGCUGGCGGCGUGCUUAACACAUGCAAGUCGAGCGGAAAGGCCACUUCGGUGGUCCUCGAGCGGCGAACGGGUGAGUAACACGUGAGUAAUCUGCCCCUCACUUUGGGAUAGCCACCGGAAACGGUGAUUAAUACCGGAUAUGACCAUAUGUCGCAUGGCGUGUGGUGGAAAGUUUUUCGGAGCGGGAUGGUCUCGCGGCCUAUCAGCUUGAUGGUGGGGUAAUGGCACAAGAUGGCCUCGAAGGGUAGCCGGCAUGAGAGGGGUGCCGGUCACAAGGGGACUAAGACAGGGACCAGUCGCCUACGGGAGGCAGCAGGGGCGAAUAUGGGCCAAUGGGCGGGAGCCGGAUCCGGAAGCGCCGCGUGUGGGAUGACGGCCUUCGGGUUGUAAACCUCUUUCAGUACCGACGAAGCGGAAGUGACGGUAGGUACAGAAGAAGCACCGGCCAACUACGUG